rnacentral:rRNA from 1 species
GUAUCGGUUGUCNGAGAAGGCAGUUGCCGAGUAGCCACGUGCCGCGGGGUAAGAGCUGAACGCAUCUAAGCUCGAAACCCACAUGAAAAAGACGUUCCACUGAGGGCACUCGUAGAAGACGAGUUCGAUAGACUCGGGAUGUA